GGUUUAUAUUAUUGUCAGAGAUACAGAUAAAAUCCACAACUGUACAUAAAACUGUCUGCUAUUGCAUAAAUUCCAUAUUUAUAGGAUAAGACUUAUUUAAUCUGUCUUGAAGCACUGCAGGAGAAAUGUACAUUUCAUAAAAAGUGUGUACUUUCUGUGGGUAUGACCUAAUUGAAUGAGACAGUCCAUGUGUUGAAGAAAUCAACAUUCCUUCA
rnacentral:lncRNA from 1 species